rnacentral:rRNA from 1 species
GCAGCACGGGGGCAACCCUGGUGGCGAGUGGCGAACGGGUGAGUAACAUAUCGGAACGUGCCCUGGAGUGGGGGAUAACUAGUCGAAAGAUUAGCUAAUACCGCAUACGAUCUACGGAUGAAAGUGGGGGAUCGCAAGACCUCAUGCUCGUGGAGCGGCCGAUAUCUGAUUAGCUAGUUGGUGGGGUAAAGGCCUACCAAGGCAUCGAUCAGUAGCUGGUCUGAGAGGACGACCAGCCACACUGGGACUGAGACACGGCCCAGACUCCUACGGGAGGCAGCAGUGGGGAAUUUUGGACAAUGGGCGCAAGCCUGAUCCAGCAAUGCCGCGUGAGUGAAGAAGGCCUUCGGGUUGUAAAGCUCUUUUGUCAGGGAAGAAACGGUUCGGGUUAAUACCUUGGGCUAAUGACGGUACCUGAAGAAUAAGCACCGGCUAACUACGUGCCAGCAGCCGCGGUAAUACGUAGGGUGCAAGCGUUAAUCGGAAUUACUGGGCGUAAAGCGUGCGCAGGCGGUUGUGCAAGACAGAUGUGAAAUCCCCGGGCUCAACCUGGGAAUUGCAUUUGUGACUGUACGGCUAGAGUGUGUCAGAGGGGGGUAGAAUUCCACGUGUAGCAGUGAAAUGCGUAGAGAUGUGGAGGAAUACCGAUGGCGAAGGCAGCCCCCUGGGAUAACACUGACGCUCAUGCACAAAAGCGCGGGGAGCAAACAGGAUUAGAUACCCUGGUAGUCCACGCCCUAAACGAUGUCUACUAGUUGUCGGGUCUUUAUUGACUUGGUAACGCAGCUAACGCGUGAAGUAGACCGCCUGGGGAGUACGGUCGCAAGAUUAAAACUCAAAGGAAUUGACGGGGANCCGCACAAGCGGNGGNAUGAUGUGGAUUAAUUCGAUGCANCGCGAAAAACCUUACCUACCCUU